CACGUAGGGCGCAAGCGUUGUCCGGAAUUAUUGGGCGUAAAGAGCUCGUAGGCGGUCUGUUGCGUCCGCUGUGAAAACUCGGGGCUUAACCCCGAGCCUGCAGUGGAUACGGGCAGACUAGAGGUAGGUAGGGGAGAAUGGAAUUCCCGGUGUAGCGGUGAAAUGCGCAGAUAUCGGGAGGAACACCGGUGGCGAAGGCGGUUCGCUGGGCCUUACCUGACGCUGAGGAGCGAAAGCGUGGGGAGCGAACAGG
rnacentral:rRNA from 1 species